rnacentral:rRNA from 1 species
UAGGGAAUCUUCCGCAAUGGACGAAAGUCUGACGGAGCAACGCCGCGUGAGUGAAGAAGGAUUUCGGUUCGUAAAACUCUGUUGUUAGGGAAGAAAAAAUGUAUAGUAACUAUAUACAAAAGAGACGGUACCUAACCAGAAAGCCACGGCUAACUACGUGCCAGCAGCCGCGGUAAUACGUAGGUGGCAAGCGUUGUCCGGAAUUAUUGGGCGUACAUCGCGCGCAGGUGGUUUAGAAAGUCUGAUGUGAAAGCCCACGGCUCAACCGUGGAGGGUAAUUGGAAACGAAUAAACUUGAGUGCAGGAGAGAAAAGUGGAAUUCCUAGUAUAGCGGUGAAAUGCGUAGAGAUUAGGAGGAACACCGGUAGCGAAAGCGGCUUUUUGGCCUGAAACAGACACUGAGGCGCGAAAGCGUGGAGAGCAAACAGG